CUAAAACCCCAUAAUUUAUUUUAAGACCUCAAAUCAGGUGGGACUACCCGCUGAACUUAAGCAUAUC
rnacentral:rRNA from 1 species